rnacentral:miRNA from 1 species
AUAGAGAGAGAGAGAGAGAUA